GGGCCCAUAGCUUAGUCUGGUGGAGCACCGGUCUUAUAAGCCGGCGGUCCAGGGUUCAAAUCCCUGUGGGCCCA
rnacentral:tRNA from 1 species